GACCAUUAUCCGUGCAAAUCGAUUAAUCGGCAACCAUCUGGUCCCGAGCAGCCCGGAUUAUCGACGUUCUACUGUAUAUCUUAUUUUGUAUUUUCUUGGUUAUUUGUUAUGUAAGGGUUAUGAAUAGAAUACUCUAAUGAAUACAUUUUGAGUAUUGAAAAGAAUCUUUGUUGUGAAAUAAUGCUUAAAUAGAAGGUGCCCAUUUUGCCCCGCUUUUCCAUAUUAGUAAUUUAAUUCAUUUAUUUAGCGAUGCAACGCCUAAUCCCUAACUUAUUCCCCUAACAUCUGUCCUUAUCUGGUGUCGCCAAAAUUGGAAAUAAUUAAAAUAUUCUCUUUAAAUGCGUUGGUCGUUAAAUUAAAAUCAAAGUGAUAAAAAAAAUUCUUCGGGCAAUGGCAAUGGAUAUUCGAGUGGCUGAAGCGCAUCGUUUAAGCCAGUCGAGGAGUCGCCACAGAUGCGGAUGUUGCCAUUUGCCUUUCGUACAACUACGACCGGGGCUGCCCAUUCGGAAAAGUCUACGCGCGUGAUUAUAUUCAACUGUUCCAACCUAUCCAGCUCUUUGUUGAUCGUCUCAAUCAUGGCAUUAAUGAUAGGCCUUUUUGGACAAAAGACGGGUCGAGCGUCUUCCUUCAACUGCAAGUGGAUGCAGCUUUUGAUGGAUAGCCCCGUACCGCUAAAAACUGUCGGAAAUUUAGCAUGAAGACCCUUGGUAGCGAACUGAGACAAAAUUGAUCGAUGAGAUCAGCACCCAACAACAAAAUGUUUGCUCGCGUCACCCGAAUGACAGCUUCCCUCGUUUUACCUGCCAUUUCAAUGCUGGUUUCGAAUUUAUCGUCGAGUUGAAGCUCCUCACCCGAUGCUGCCCUAGCGUGGACCUCUGCCGGAACUAACGAUGGUUUGCCCAAUUGUUGCCACAACGGGCGACUGAUGACUGUUAUGUCCGACCCAGUGUCCAGCUGCAAGCUCAUGUGUUGACCAUACAUGGUCAGGUUGGCGUAUUUUCGUCUGUCGUUAACCCUACAUAUAAUUACAGUUACAACACGUGAUGUUACCUGCCGGAGCUUUCGAUAGUUGCGCUGUCGUCUUCUAGGUCUCGAUGUGCGGCAAAACCCUUCCCGAUAACCGAUUUUUCCAUAAUCGGACCACUUAUGGGAUUUGAAUUUGCAGUCUCUGGACCAAUGAAUCUCACCGCAUAACCAGCAGGGUUUCGAUGGUUUCGCCGAUGCUCCGGAAUCACCCGAUUUCUGCUUCUGGAAAUUAGCCAAUAACUAUAAGCCAAAUAAGCCAAUGAAAUAAGCCAAUAACUCGGAAGGAUAAAGCUGGUAUACCGUGAAUGGUCUGUCGUGCCUAGCUUACGAACGAGUAAACGAACUUUCGCCGCGUCAUCGAGUCGGGAGGCGUCCUGAAGGAUAAAGCUGGUAUACCGUGAAUGGUCUGUCGUGCCUAGCUUACGCACGAGUAAACGAACAAUCGCCGCGUCGUCGAGUCGGGAGGCGUCCUGCUUAAACAGGUCGUCGUAACAUGAAUACCAGGCGGAAAACGUAACGUCCGACACGGCCUCGUGCCGAAACUCUAAAAUGCUGCUCGCCAAAGCAUCCAUGGAGUCGAAUUCUAUCUUUGAACUGCGCUGAAGAUAUCUCAAAGUCCAAAAAAUCUAGCAGUGAACUCCGCAGACAUACAAAUCAUUGGGUCUGACCGACCAGCACUUGAUCGAAGUUUAUUCAAAUUGUCAGCCUGAUGGUUUCACAUGGUUUUCGUAGCUGGGCAUAACGGCAUUGGGGCCAGCCAUUCGUCGAAAAGCGAACCUUGUGAAACGCUUUUGGACCUUUUCAAAUCUUAAGAUCCAUCCAGAACGGACUGGACCAACGACCACUGAAGCGUAUUCCAAUGUUGAUCUAACUAAAGAACAAUAAAGUGACUUGAGGCAAAGUGGAUCACGAAAAUCUCUGCCGGUCGGGAGAGAAGAGAGCGACCUCUUUAUCCCGAAGCGCGUCGAUCGUGCUUUCACGCAUACGGUCGCCUAACAUCGGGCGCAUGACGAACUCUGUCAAGGCUUGUACAGGGUGGCUCCCAACAAUUAGCCCCAGCGUUCUAGAAGCACUUGCGACAACCGACUCUAAAUGUUCGUUUAGUGAUAAUUUAUCAUCCCAAGGGACGCCAAGAUCACGUAUAAGGGAGGUUCGAGACAGCACAGAAUUGGAGAGCGAAUAUUCGUAAUGGAUAGGGUUGCGGUUUUGACAGAAGGAUAUUACAGAGCAUUUUUCAGGGCAAAGACUUAGCUGGUUGUAGGAACACCAUAAAGAAAAUGAGUUAAGAAACUCCUGGAGCCGAAGGCAGUCACUGAGCGUUCUGAUAGUUAAAUAUAUUUUUAAAUCAUCAGCAUACAGUAAAUGACCUUCGGACGGGAGAAUUUCAUGAACAUCACUGACAAUAAGUACGAAUAAGAGAGGGCUCAAGACGCAGCCUUGUGGCACUCCAGAGGAGGGACAAAAGGACGAAGAAAAAGUAGUGUCGGUUUUUACACGAAUGGACCUGCUAUUUAAAAAAGAAUAAAGCCAGUUAAUUAACAUAUUAGAAAAACCAAGUUUUUUUUUUAGUUUUAACA